UACGAAGGGGGCUAGCGUUGCUCGGAAUCACUGGGCGUAAAGCGCACGUAGGCGGCUUUCUAAGUCAGGGGUGAAAUCCUGGAGGCUCAACUCCAGAACUGCCUUUGAUACUGGAGAGCUUGAGUCCGGGAGAGGUGAGUGGAACUCCGAGUGUAGAGGUGAAAUUCGUAGAUAUUCGGAAGAACACCGGUGGCGAAGGCGGCCCCCUGGACCGGUACUGACGCUGAGGCGCGAAAGCGUGGGUAGCAAACGGG
rnacentral:rRNA from 1 species